GUCGCUCACCUUGGUCUAUGUGAAUAUUAAACAAAGGAAGUAGAUGGAUUCAUGACAAAAUUGUGUUUUGGUGAUGGUGAUGUGUUUGUACGUCUUACUUAACUGAACAUUCUUGCUGCUUACAGUUAUCUCUAUCUAAAACUUUGCCCAGUAGUUUCAGUGGAAAAUGUUAGUAAAAAUUUACAAAUUUUAUAAAAAUUGUUAAAAAUUGACUAUAAAGGACAAUAACUCCUUAGGGGGUCAAUUGACCAUUUCAGUCAUGUUGACUUAUUUGUAAAUCUUACUUUGCUGUACAUUAUUGCUGUUUAAAGUUUAUCUCUAUCUAUAAUAAUAUUCAAGAUAAUAACCAAAAACAGUAAAAUUUCCUUAAAAUUACCAAUU
rnacentral:lncRNA from 1 species